AGUGAACGCUGGCGGUAGGCCUAACACAUGCAAGUCGAACGGCAGCACAGUAAGAGCUUGCUCUUACGGGUUGCGAGUGUCGGACGGGUGAGUUAUACAUCGGAAUCUACUUUUUCGUGUGGGUUAACGUAGGUAAACUUACGCUAAUACCUCAUACUACCUACGGUUGUAUGCAUGGGUUCUUCUUACCUUUCUCGUUUGUAUUAGCCGAUGUCGGAUGAGCUAGUUGGCUGGGUAAAGGCCCACCAAGGCGACGAUCCGUAGAUGGUCUGAGAGGAGGAUCAGACACACUGGAACUGAGACACGGUACAGACUCCUACGGGAGGCAGCAGUGGGGAAUAUUGGACAAUGGGCGCAAGCAUGAUCAAGCAAUACCGAGUGGGUGAAGAAGGACUGCGGGUUGUAAAGCACUUUUGUUGGGAAAGAAAAGAAGCAGGAUAAGACAAAGAUGGACUGACGGUACCCAAAGAAUAAGCACCGGCUAACUUCGUG
rnacentral:rRNA from 1 species